GGUAGGAAUACCCGCUGAACUUA
rnacentral:rRNA from 1 species